rnacentral:rRNA from 1 species
GAGAGUUUGAUCCUGGCUCAGAUUGAACGCUGGCGGCAUGCCUUACACAUGCAAGUCGAACGGCAGCACGGGAGCAAUCCUGGUGGCGAGUGGCGAACGGGGGAGUAAUAUAUCGGAACGUGCCCAGUCGUGGGGGAUAACGCAGCGAAAGCUGUGCUAAUACCGCAUACGAUCUCUGGAUGAAAGCGGGGGACUCAGCAAUGGGCCUCGCGCGAUUGGAGCGGCCGAUAUCAGAUUAGCUAGUUGGUGGGGUAAAAGCUCACCAAGGCGACGAUCUGUAGCUGGUCUGAGAGGACGACCAGCCACACUGGAACUGAGACACGGUCCAGACUCCUACGGGAGGCAGCAGUGAGGAAUAUUGGACAAUGGGCGCAAGCCUGAUCCAGCCAUGCCGCGUGCAGGAUGACGGUCCUAUGGAUUGUAAACUGCUUUUGUACAGGAAGAAACACUGGUUCGUGAACCAGCUUGACGGUACUGUAAGAAUAAGGAUCGGCUAACUCCGUGCCAGCAGCCGCGGUAAUACGGAGGAUCCAAGCGUUAUCCGGAAUCAUUGGGUUUAAAGGGUCCGUAGGCGGUUUAGUAAGUCAGUGGUGAAAGCCCAUCGCUCAACGGUGGAACGGCCAUUGAUACUGCUAAACUUGAAUUAUUAGGAAGUAACUAGAAUAUGUAGUGUAGCGGUGAAAUGCUUAGAGAUUACAUGGAAUACCAAUUGCGAAGGCAGGUUACUACUAAUGGAUUGACGCUGAUGGACGAAAGCGUGGGUAGCGAACAGGAUUAGAUACCCUGGUAGUCCACGCCGUAAACGAUGGAUACUAGCUGUUGGAAGCAAUUUCAGUGGCUAAGCGAAAGUGAUAAGUAUCCCACCUGGGGAGUACGUUCGCAAGAAUGAAACUCAAAGGAAUUGACGGGGGCCCGCACAAGCGGUGGAGCAUGUGGUUUAAUUCGAUGAUACGCGAGGAACCUUACCAAGGCUUAAAUGUAGAUUAACUUUCCAGAGAUGGAUUGGUGCCUUCGGGAACUUAGAUACAGGUGCUGCAUGGCUGUCGUCAGCUCGUGUCGUGAGAUGUUGGGUUAAGUCCCGCAACGAGCGCAACCCUUUUCCUUAUUUGCCAGCGGGUCAUGCCGGGAACUUUAAGGAUACUGCCAGUGACAAACUGGAGGAAGGCGGGGACGACGUCAAGUCAUCAUGGCCCUUACGGCCAGGGCUACACACGUGCUACAAUGGUCGGUACAAAGGGUUGCUACCUCGCGAGAGGAUGCUAAUCUCAAAAAGCCGAUCGUAGUCCGGAUCGCAGUCUGCAACUCGACUGCGUGAAGUCGGAAUCGCUAGUAAUCGCGGAUCAGAAUGCCGCGGUGAAUACGUUCCCGGGCCUUGUACACACCGCCCGUCACACCAUG